GCGAAAACACCCAGAGUGGCAGGCAGAAUGUGGUAUUAACUUGCCACCCCAGGAUCCAGCUGUGUUCACAUUAAAAAGGGAGCAGAAUAAAGCUCAGGAGAAGCUGAAACCAUGUUGUUCAGCAUGUAGAAUAAGACAGAAAACUCCCCUGAUGAGAGGGGAGGGUGAGAUAGAAGACUGCGUGUCCCCACAGGGCGUGGAAUUGAAGAUGAUGUGCCUUCAGCUUCCGAGCUGGUGAAACUGUGCAGAAAGAAGAGGAAAACAUGGAAAAGAAACUGAGAUUUUAGUUGAGACUGGAACAUUUGAUUUGGUUUUGAAUCAGGAAUUGAUACCAUUAGAUGAAGAUUUUGUACCUGUGGUGGGAGCUACUGGCCAAGGAGACAAAGCUUUCUUCAUCAGCCAAUCCAAUAGAAACUGGAAAACAAAAUGCAAUUCCUAAUUUCUUAUCUAUGCCCGGGUCUCCAAAACCGUUACUGAGACGAGACUUAGGAAAACAAUUGCAAGCAAUAAUAACAUUUAAACAAGGUGAAGUGACAUUCCAGAUAAAAGAACAGCCACAGAAACCAAAGAAGGCCGUAUGCAAUGCACUGCAAGUUUGCUAAAUUGGGUGAGAUGCAGCGUGUACCGAGCUUCCCAAGAGAAAGCCUAGCACCAAGUUUUGGUGUGCCUUCGUUUUACAGACUCUGGGGUGCUGUGGGGAAGUAGUUGCCUGCCAGAGUGCUGCAAGAAAAGAGAAUCACCUCAGCUCUUGUGCUUGUGUCUUGUUUCCAGCCACAGGCUCAAGCUGCGAACCUUGAGCUCGUUUGACUUGCACAGAAAGCACGAGGAUGCCAUGACCCCGGCAGGGCUGGCGUUUCAACAGUGCCAGUGGGACAGCUGCGUUUCCUGGGUCUUCCAUCAGCUCCUCAAUAUGAGAGAGCCCGUGUUUGAAUUUGUGCGGCCGCCUGUUUACCAUCCUCCCCAGGUGAAGUUCCCACGCCACCAGCCCCUGAGGUACCUGGACAGGUACCGAGACAGCAAGGAGCCCACCUACGGCAUUUACUAGGGCUGGGCCUCCCCUCGAGGUGCUCAGCUCUGCGCUGGCUGGAAGGGCUGGGCUUAUCCUUCCUUGGAAAAAUCAUUAAAUGAACCCAGAUCAAGUA